rnacentral:other from 1 species
UGUUUCCUGGGAUGUUCGCUAGCAGAGAUGUUCCUCGAGCCGAUUUACUUACUUCGGGAGCUUGUCAUCUGCUGAUGUUGUGCAUAUCCGGUAUACUGGAGAGCCUGAUUCGGUAAAUAAGCGCCCACCUUGAACCCUCGGGUUCUAGGGGCUAAACUUGUAACGGCAUUUUGGAAAACAU